UAUUACGGUUACAUUUAUUACCCUAUUUCCUUUGUGUUUGUCUAUGUAGUUGCAAUUUCAUUUCCCAUCCACUAGGUGGCAGUAUAGAUACUGUUUGGAAUUGAGAGACGUAGAUGAAGAGCACUGGUUGCUACGGAGACAGAGCGAGAUAACAAUGAAAGAAAACGAUCGCAUUGAAGAACAAUAGUAAGAGAAAGAAGAUCACAACUUAAUUUAUUUACUUUAUUUUCAUGAAACAGUUGAAGAACUUUAUUUUGUUUAAGUUAUAAUACUUUUGAGAAGCAAGAUUUGUUUGAAAGAAGAUCCGGACUGCACUGGUUAUGUUUAUUUCUUUCCUUUCCUCCGGUUGGUUUUUUUUAAGAGCUUGAUUCCCAACGAACUAUCGCCGAACUUCCCUGGGUGCACGCGCGGCCAGCAGCAGUGACUGAGGAGCGUCUGGCCACUUGUCUCCUACAGCCGCGUCUCGUUCUCCAUCCAGGCUCCAGAGAUAAGGAGAUCCAUUGCACACACCCGCACGUGGGACACAUAAAAAAACCUACUACCCGGGUAGAUUGACACUUUUGGACGUUGAUAUUAUUUAUUUAUUUAUUUAAUUAUUUUAUUUUAUUUCUUUAAGCCAGAGCUCUGAGGUUUUCUUUUCUACUUUCUUAUUUCUUCUAUUUUUUCUAUUUAUUCUUCCUCCUUGAUGAAAAGGACAAUACCAAGGACAAUCUAAGGAGUCUAUACAGAGAAAAGAGUUCUCACUUGAAUGUUGUUUUUACAUGAAUAAAUGCCGGCAAUGCUUUGAAACUUUA